rnacentral:rRNA from 1 species
CCCUUAGAUGUUCUGGGCGGCCCGCGCACUACAAUGGCGCUUUCAGCGAGUUCCUAUGUUGAAUUUUCCUUGGUAUUCUUGGAAGCGGCGCCUUGACUUGGGAUAGAUCCUUGUAAUUGUUGGUUUUGAACGAGGAAUUCCUUGUAAUCGCGGUUGAUCAGCUCGCGUUGAAUACGUCCCUGCCCUUUGUACACACCGCCCGUCGCUCCUACCGAUGAAUCGUCCGGUGAAGUUCACAGAGUGGCGGUUCGUGGAGUUGCUCGCGAAGUGAAAUGGACCUCACGAUUUAGAGGAAGGAGAAGUCGUAACA